UACGUAGGUCGCAAGCGUUGUCCGGAAUUACUGGGCGUAAAGAGCGCGCAGGCGGUCGUUCAAGUCGCGUGUGAAAGCCCCCGGCUCAACUGGGGAGGGUCACGCGAUACUGAUCGACUCGAAGGCAGGAGAGGGUAGUGGAAUUCCCGGUGUAGUGGUGAAAUGCGUAGAUAUCGGGAGGAACACCAGUGGCGAAGGCGACUACCUGGCCUGUUCUUGACGCUGAGGCGCGAAAGCUAGGGGAGCAAACGGG
rnacentral:rRNA from 1 species